UUACAGCCAUAUCAUGUUGAAACACUGGUUCCUGUAUGAUCACCGAAGUUAAGCAUUGUCGAGCAUGGUCAGCACCUAGACGGUGAAUACUUGGGAAUACCAGAUGCUGUAA